UCAGAGUCCCAGCAACCCUGCGUCAUCCCCCUGACUAUGAUGAAACACAGGCCCUCCCCGGGGCAUCAGGACCUCAGUCCCUGCUCCCUUCCUCACCCCCAACAAUUGCCCAGGAGGAAGGCGAAAACCUGCAAGGGUAGGCAGCGAGAAGGAGGGGCGGGUUGCCCCACCCUGUAGUAGUCAGGGCCUCCAGGAGCAGAAACCCUGCAGCCCAGCAUCCUCUGAGGCCCAAACUAGGCUAGAGAAACCUAAACCUCCAGCCAUCUGGUUUGGAAACCCAAGAGGAACUGGGCCUGGGAGUAGGACGAGGAGAAACGGCAGGAUUGGAAGGGGAGAGCCCGGUGAUGGUUCCGGAAACCAGCAUUGCUUCAGGGCUGGUGCAACUAGAACUGCCUCCUCGAAGAGGAAGCAGAGGGAGGAGAGGCUAGGGAACUGCUUGGGGUACUGCAGAACCCACCUCUCCAGGCUUCCUGCCCAGUUCCCUCUCCUCUGCAUACAGUGGAGUUGGUCUGCUGCCAGGAAGCCCUUUGGAGCCACUGAGAGUGUUAGAGUGAGGGCAGGGCAAGGCAUGGUCUGCUUCUGAAAGCUUAUCCCACAACUUCCACUGGCGGUAGUCAUCCCAGCAAAGCACUGGCUCACAGUCCUCUCAGCCAAAGUCCAUGUGCAGAGUUUCCAGUUCCCAGAAGUUUCCAAAGCAGAGGAUGUAAUUACAAUGUUUUAAAGCAAAUAAACACACACCCGAGUGGGAGGACUGC
ensembl:lncRNA